rnacentral:rRNA from 1 species
AGUGAACGCUGGCGGUAGGCCUAACACAUGCAAGUCGGACGGCAGCACAGAGGAGCUUGCUCCUUGGGUGGCGAACGGGUGAGUAAUACAUCGGAACGUGCCUAGUAGCGGGGGAUAACUACUCGAAAGAGUGGCUAAUACCGCAUGAGAUCUACGGAUGAAAGCAGGGGAUCGCAAGACCUUGUGCUACUAGAGCGGCCGAUGGCAGAUUAGGUAGUUGGUGGGAUAAAAGCUUACCAAGCCGACGAUCUGUAGCUGGUCUGAGAGGACGAUCAGCCACACUGGGACUGAGACACGGCCCAGACUCCUACGGGAGGCAGCAGUGGGGAAUUUUGGACAAUGGGCGCAAGCCUGAUCCAGCAAUGCCGCGUGCAGGAUGAAGGCCUUCGGGUUGUAAACUGCUUUUGUACGGAACGAAAAGCCCCGGGUUAAUACCCUGGGGUCAUGACGGUACCGUAAGAAUAAGCACCGGCUAACUACGUGCCAGCCGCCGCCGUAA